GACGAUCAUUCGGCGGCCAUGGAAGAAAAAUUCGACAAGGUGAAGCCUCAAAUUAUAGUUGAGGAAUGGAGUGGAUCUUCUUUGAACAAACUCUCGUUGACUGCCGUUAUAUCGCCGUCUUCUUCUUCGUCUUUCACCUUGAAAAGACACGGUAAUCGAUUCAACAUUUUCUCCCGAAGGUUUAUCGAAGCGUUUGUUCCAGAGGGGUUUCCGAGCAGCGUGACUCCAGAUUAUAUUCCUUUUCAGACAUGGGAUCUAUUGCAGGGCCUCUCAACAUACAUUAGGACCAUGCUUUCUACACAAGCUCUUCUAAGUGCUAUAGGAGUUGGGGAGAAAUCAGCAACUGUAAUUGGGGCUACUUUUCAGUGGUUUUUGAGGGAUUUAACUGGAAUGCUAGGAGGUGUCAUGUUCACAUUCUACCAGGGCUCAAACCUAGACAGCGAUGCCAAAAUGUGGCGUUUGGUUGCAGACCUAAUGAAUGAUCUUGGAAUGCUGAUGGACCUUCUUUCUCCAUUGUUUCCUUCGGCAUUUGUAUUCAUUGUCUGCUUAGGGAGCUUGUCAAGAUCUUUCACUGGUGUUGCCAGUGGAGCAACUAGAGCUGCUUUGACCCAGCAUUUUGCUCUUCAGAAUAAUGCUGCAGAUAUAUCUGCAAAGGAAGGAAGCCAGGAGACAGUUGCAACAAUGAUGGGAAUGGCUUUAGGAAUGUUUCUUGCACACAUUACGAUGGGACACUCAACAAUAAUAUGGUUCUCUUUUCUGUCGCUCACCAUGUUCCACAUGUAUGCUAAUUACAAAGCUGUAAGGUGUCUUAAUCUGACUACAUUAAACUGUGAAAGAAGCUCAAUUCUUUUGCUGCAUUUCAUGGAGACUGGCCGAGUUCUCUCUCCAAAAGAGGUCUCAGACUUGGAGCAUGUUUUACCGUUAUGGAUAAGUUCUUGGAGCUCAAAGCGUACCAAACUUUUGUAUGCACGGGUACGCUUAGGUGCGAGGGUUUCCUCACUUGACAGCCUGGAAAUGAUGGAGCUAUUAAGUUCUGCUGGAUCUCGAUAUGAGAAAGCAAAAUACAUGCUACUUGAGAAGAAGGGAAUCAUCAGCAUUGUCAUGCAUAAAGAUUCAACUACUGGAGAUGUCAUGCAAGGGUUCAUGCAUGCUCUUGUUAUGGCAAAUCUUGUAGAUGAUAAGCCUACGUCAUUACAUACAGAUAGCCAAACAUGGAUGGACAAACACUAUGAAGCCUUUGUUUUGAAGCUUCAAUCAUCUGGUUGGAAAACGGAGCGCCUUUUGUCUUCGUCAAUCAUCUGGAGGGCAAACUGGAGCCAUGGGGCUCCAGAUAAGAAGAUAAACUAGAAGAAAAUGCCUAUACAGUCAUACAGACAAAAUCCAAAGAUCGCCCCCUCUCUGGAGAAUGAAAAUGGAAAGACAACCGAUGAAUUCAGAUGACGCCAUUAGAACUCCAACAGCCACAAUAAACAUGGACAGCAUGCCUACGAGAAAUAUAUACGUUCUCCGGGAUGAUCUUCGAUAUUCACCAAAAAUGAGCACACCCCAAAAGGUACUCACAAGUGGAAGCGCCUGAAAUGAGUUCACAACAAGCUCAUAAGGUAAACAUAGACAUGAGACUUAAUUUAUUUUCUCCAAAUGCAUUGGCGGGUUGUACAGUACAACUCAGUUUUGCAUCUGGGAAGUCUAGAAGUGGAACUAGAUGCAUAAAUGAGCUAUACACUAGAACCUACUAAUGCAUUUUAUCCAGACAGUACUCACCAUCAAAUAUUUUGAAUCAAAUGCAUUGCUUAGUUGUACUAUAUAGUACAACAAUGUAUGAAAUUAGAUACAUAGAUGAGUUGCAGACUAGGACCUAGCGAUGCCUUCUUUCGAGAUAUGACACAGUAAG